rnacentral:snRNA from 1 species
AGAUAGACGUAAAGCUUUA